rnacentral:rRNA from 1 species
GACAGAGGUCCCGAGCGUUAGGCGGAAUCAUUGGGCUUAAAGCGUGUGUAGGUGGAUCGGUAAGUACCUUGUGAAAUCCCACAGCUUAACUGUGGAACUGCUUGGUAUACUGCCAGUCUUGAGCCAGCUAGGGGCUACCGGAACAAAUGGUGGAGCGGUGAAAUGCGUAGAUAUCAUUUGGAACGCCAAUGGUGAAAACAGGUAGCUGGGGCUGUGCUGACACUGAGACACGAAAGCCAGGGGAGCGAACGGG